rnacentral:rRNA from 1 species
GACAGAGGAGGCAAGCGUUGUUCGGAAUCAUUGGGCUUAAAGCGCGCGUAGGCGGCCUUGUAAGUGUCUUGUGAAAUCCCACGGCUCACCCGUGGAACUGCAGGGCCAACUGCAAGACUUGAGGUCGGUAGAGGCGCCUGGAACUCUAGGUGGAGCGGUGAAAUGCGUAGAUAUCUAGGGGAACGCUGGAGACGAAAGCGGGGCGCUGGGCCGAUUCUGACGCUGAUGCGCGAAAGCGUGGGGAGCAAACAGG